rnacentral:lncRNA from 1 species
CUGCGGACCCGCGCCCGGCCGCUGCCGCCGGACGCUUGAAAAGGAACAAGAGGAUUUAUCUGACUCAACUGGAGAUGGCUCCCUUCCCUAAUUUAUUGUUGCAUCCUGAAGCUUCCCCCAUGCUGGGCUCAGUGUGAACAAACAGCGCGGGAGAAUGCAACCACUGCAGAGGCAUAUGUUUGAGAUGCCUGGCCACUGGAGGUCAUCUCGUCUACUAUGUUCACCACAGAUAAAGAAUGAAAAGAGAAUAUACAACCUUGUGAUUGCUAGCAGUGAAAGCUCAGAGUUAUGACAUAACAAUUGGUUGGAAAGAACCCAAGGGGACAUGGGCACAGCAUCCCUUCCUGGGCCUCUUCCUCAGGUGGUGCGGGUGGGAAAUCAGGAAGCUCCCAGACAUGGAGCAACUCAGGUGAUCAUGGAACAGAGAGAAGAGGGGCUUGAGCAGAGAGAAUGCUUAGAGGCUAAGCGAUGGGCAAGUGAGAGGGAAAGAGCCGCGACAGACAGAGCUGGCUGCCUAGGGGUCUCAGAGGCUUCAUCCUGCAGGCGGCAGGCGGCAGGACAAAGGGACCUUCGCACUCGAGAUCAAGAUUCCAAGGAGUUAAACGCUACCACGCAGCCCGACCUGGAUGGGAUUUGCUCCUGGGUACAAAACGGGACACUGAUCAAAAUCAACUUGGACAAGUGACAAGAGUGAGUCUUAUGUCGGUGGAUGUCUUUUAAGGUCGUUGGAGGGAAGAGGACGGGAGGGGUGUGCCGAGGGGUAGGUGGAGAGAGGCACCGAGUCCAGAGCCGGGAUAUAAAUGCACCAGGAGCCGGGGAGCAGAGGAGCAAAUGAGUGGGGGAAAGAGUGAGAGGAAGAGUUGGAGAAAAGUCGGGGGAAAGUAGGGACAGGGUUAAGGGGAGAGAGGAGGAUGAGGGCGGCGAGGAGAGAUUAAAAGGGGAAGGGGGGUCGCUGGAGAGGAGGGCGGACUGUGGAUCGGAGGUAGGGAGAGGGGCGAGGGGAGUGCGCGGGGUGGGG